rnacentral:lncRNA from 1 species
GCGCCUAAAACAAGCACUCACUUUGGCCCUACACAGUAUGUGGUGAGUAUCAGUAUGUGGUUUACCACAGUGUUCACACACCGGUCUCGGAGUAUUGCGAACACUGACCACACUAUCGGCAGGUUUAUUCAAGAACUUGGAAUCAUGUUCGCUCAGUUUAUUUAUGCUUGGAAACCCAAAUGACGCAGUGAUACGGUUAUCAUCUUCUUUUGCUUUUUUUAGUGGUGGUGCAGAAAAUGAUUAUAAAUUUCUUCCAUCUGACAUCCACUCCAUUUAAUUCUCAUGCAAAACCUUAUCAGACGAUUCCAGCUUCCAAAAACAACAGUUACAAAAAUCCUUACUUUAUGUCUAUUGUCCUUUUUCCUUCCAGCCCCCCUUCCAAGCAAAAACUCCUUCAAUCUAGUUCCAUCUGUCGUUUCCUCUCUGGCGCUCAUGGAUGAACUCAGGCAACCCUUCCUCAAGGUAAAAUUCCUCCCCCUUCUUUAAACCUUCAUUAGCUAUGGUAUGAGCACGGUUGUUCGUUGAUCUAGAAGUAUGUUUAAAAGAGAUUCUCCGAAAAUGGCCUUUAUGUUGUUGGAUAUCUCUGAUUAUGGCUCUAAUAGUUUAUUUAUCAAGAGAAUCUGACUUGCAUUUGUUUAUUAAUGUCUUCAAACCCCUUUCAAUCACCACUGAAUCAACCCCCAGCUGUAACCUCAACAUUACUGCCUGUAGGCAUGCACGGGCCUCUGCUACGAACAGAGUAGGAAUCCCCUAUGUAAAACUAUCUUCGAGGCCAGAAUCUUGCCUGAAACAUUUCUGGUCACAACACCUGCUCCAGAUCUAGUUUGAAUCAAAUUGAAAGCUUCAUCAAAGUUAACCUUCACCUCUGCGUCAAAUAGGGGACUCCACCUCGCAAAAACAUUAGAUCUGGAAUGUGAUUUCUCCUCUAUCGCAUAAAGUUCAUACAAAUAGCUUGUAGUCCAAUCUGCAAUAUCUUUACUAGAAAGCUUUUUCCCCUCAUGCACUAAUUGAUUCUUAUUAAACCAAAUACCCCAAAGACCACAAUAGAACACCAUGCACUACUCAUUAGUACUACUUAUGAAAAUCCAGGUAAUCCAAUCCCAGAAAUGCUGAAUUGAGUUUUGUAAAAUCCAAGAUAGAUUUCAAUUCACCCAUAUCUCUGUUGAUGUAGGGCAUACCUGCAAGAUAUGUUCGAUUGACUCCACUAAUCCAAGACACCUAGGACACAAGCAAUUUGUGGCUACCCUUUUGUAGUUUAGAUUGAGUAACGUAGGAAAGAAAUCCCAUGAAGCUCCCCAAAUUGUAAUUUUAAUUUUUGGAAGGAGCUGUAGAUUCCAUACUUUUUUUUAUAGUAUUCUUUAAGGUUCUAUUGUGUAUAAUUUUCAUUAGGGGGUAGUAUACCUUAUUGUAAUAUUUUGUAGGCACUUAUUAUGGAGAAUUCACCUGAUGGCUCACCCCUCCAAACCUGUAUAUCAUCGAAAAACUUCCUUAGCCAAUGGGUUCAUCAGUAUUCCCUUCGCGACAUCCUUUGGAAAGGUAUCAAAAGUUAUAUCUUUCCUCCAUUUCCCUGAUUGUGCACCAAUUAAAUCCGAAACAAAGGUAACCUCAGAAUUACUAACGUUGUUUAAUAAACCCAAACUGAUAGACCCUGAUAGCUAAAGGUCUUCCCUUAUUGAAAUCUUCUCACCAGAACCAACCCUCCAACACAGUCC